CUCAUUUUCUUUUCCCCCAUUCAUCCAGCCAUUUUCUCCCAGCUCUUUCCCCCCUAGUUUGGUCUCCAUUUUCAGUCUCAUUUUUUAACACACACUUCGCAUCUACACAUUGAUUUAGACCUCUACAACUCCGACAUCCUCGAGCUCCGAAGUAUCCGUUCAUUUGGCCGGCACCGACAUCGCUUUAACCGUGCCGUCAAUAUCUCUGACAAUUUUUCGAUCUUCGCUUCCAUCGAUAACAGAAAAAGGUAAAACCCGAGAUUUAUUGUGAAAUCUGAAGUUAAGUUAGAAAUCUAAAAUUUCUUGUAAAUUAUUUUGGUGUUAAGGUACAAAUCUAAAUUUUGUUAUAAAAUCUGAAGUUUAUUUAUUUUUUUUAAAUCUAUUUUUUUAAAAUCUGAAAUUUAAACUCCGAAAUUUAUUUUAAAAUCUAAAAGUAAUUUUAAAUUCUGAAAUCUGAAGUUAAGGUGAAAUUUGAAAUGUAUUUUUAUUUUAAAUAGAAGCAUGAUUGUGGGUAGUAUGAAUUAGGCUAGACUUUGCUAAUUUUUGGAAGAAUUUGUGAGAAAAUGAUGACCAUUAAAUUUAUUUUUAUUUUAAGUAGAAGCAUGAUAAUGAGCACUUUGAUAUAGGCAGGACGUACUUAUAACAAGCUGCUCUUCUAAAAAGCAUACUUAUAAUAACAGUUCAAUUGGCUUUUUGUCGUAGGAAAGAAAUUUUGAAUGACGUUGAAGUCGAUAUGUUGGAGGAGUCCGAUGAUAACAACAAUGGUGACAAUACAAAAUCACUGCGUGAUGAUGCAACAAGAGGGGAUGGUAUGACUAUGCCUGAGAUGGGCAUCAAGUUCAAGGACGAAAGUUAAAUAUUAUAGUUUUAUAAAAGAUAUGCCUACGACUUGAUUUUUCCAGUGAGAAAAAGAAAUUCUAAAAAGGAUGAUGAUAAAGCUCUACAAUAUGUUACAUUUGUUUGUAGUCGUGAAGGUAAAAGUCAAUAAUACAAGUGUUUCUCUGUAGCCAUAAGCUACGUUGCAGAAGGGGUGUAAAGCCAGACUAACUGCAUGUUCAGAUAUUCAUGGAAUAUGGAGAAGUAACAAAGUACACCUUAUCACAAUCAUAGAACAAGUCCUUUGAAGUCUACACUGUAUCAAUGCAACAGAGAAUUAUGUGCUCAAGUGAAACGUCGGCUUGAAGUAAAUGACGUUGCAGGAUUAUUGCUGCACAAAAGUUUCAACUUUGCAGUUGUUAAAACAUGUGGAUAUGAGAAUAUGACCUACAUCGAGAAGAAUUGUUUAAACUAUGUUGAAAAAGUUAGGAGGUUAUGACUUGGAAAAGGUGAUGCCACGACAAUGCAGUCUAACUUUUUUAUUAUGCUAGAACAAUGCACAAAGUUCUACUUUAGUAUUGAUUUGGAUAAAGAGUUACGUUUGAAGAAUAUUUUCUAAGCAGAUAAUAGGAAUCGGCAGGCAUGUAUAGAGUUUAGCAAUGUUAUCACAUUUGGUACUAGGGAUGGCUCGAUUCGGCUCGGCUCGGCCCUUUAAUCCACG
rnacentral:lncRNA from 1 species